AUGCAAGACUAUCUCGCAGAGAAUCCAACGUAUCGACCGCACCUCUUCCGGAGAAAGUACCGAAUGCGCCGAUCCCUCUUUGUUACAAUUGUUCAACCUUGCGAGGCCAAUUGUCAGUAUUUUACGCAACGAAGAAAUGCUGCCGGCUUGAAGGGAUUUAGUGCAUAUCAAAAAAACUCGGCAGCUAUGAGGGUGAUUGCGUAUAGCUUCCGGCUGAUUAUGCCGAUGAGUAUCUUCGCAUUGGUGAAGAUACAACAAUUGAGUCGGUUUGUAAAUUUGCCAAAGUGA
rnacentral:rRNA from 1 species